AUGGGGCUCAGACCCUCAUGCCCUUUUAUGUCCCUGCAGGAUGUGCAUGGCCGGGACUUUGGGGCACGGGGCUCCGGUUCCCUGGUCCAGGCAGCGCUGACUCAGCCGCCCUCGGUGUCAGUGAAGCCGGGAGAAACCGUCAAGAUCACCUGCUCUGGGAGUGGUAGCAGCUAUGGCUGGAUCCAGCAGAAGGUGCCUGGUCGUGCCCCUGUCACUGUGAUCUAUGAUAACACCAACAGACCCUCGGACAUCCCUUCACGAUUCUCCGGAUCCCAGUCUGGCUCCACGGCCACGUUAACCAUCACUGGGGUCCAAGCCGAGGACGAGGCUGUCUAUUUCUGUGGUGGCUACGACAGCAGUGCUGAGCAGGUGAUCUUGACGGUUUCUCCCGGCUUCGCCGACACCGAGGGCGGCUGA